rnacentral:rRNA from 1 species
CACGUAGGGGGCGAGCGUUGUCCGGAUUUAUUGGGCGUAAAGAGCUCGUAGGCGGCUCGGUAAGUCAGGUGUGAAAACUCUAGGCUCAACCUAGAGACGCCACCUGAUACUGCUGUGGCUAGAGUCCGGUAGGGGAGCAUGGAAUUCCUGGUGUAGCGGUGAAAUGCGCAGAUAUCAGGAGGAACACCAGUGGCGGAAGGCGGCUUCCUGGCCCGGUACUGAACGCUGGAGGUGCGAAAGCGUGGGGAGCAAACAGG